rnacentral:tRNA from 1 species
GGGCCGUUAGCUCAUCUGGUAGAGCGUCGUCAUGGCAUGGCGAAGGUGGCCGGUUCAAGUCCGGCACGGUCCA